CAACUACUCCCUCUGUCCCAAAUUUCUUGUCUUAGAUUUGUCUAGAUACGGAUGUAUCUAAUACUAAAAUGUGACUUGAUACAUCCGUAUCUAGACAAAUCUAAGACAAGAAUUUCGGGAUGGAGGGAGUACUUU
rfam:Triticum aestivum genome assembly, contig: Triticum_aestivum_CS42_TGACv1_scaffold_527176_6DL